rnacentral:rRNA from 1 species
UACGGAGGGUGCAAGCGUUAUCCGGAUUCACUGGGUUUAAAGGGUGCGUAGGCGGACAGGUAAGUCAGUGGUGAAAUCUCCGAGCUUAACUCGGAAACUGCCGUUGAUACUAUUUGUCUUGAAUACUGUGGAGGUAAGCGGAAUAUGUCAUGUAGCGGUGAAAUGCUUAGAUAUGAGGUGGAACACCGGUUGCGAAGGCAGCUUACUGGACAGAGAUUGACGCUGAGGCGCGAAAGCGUGGGGAGCAAACAGG